rnacentral:rRNA from 1 species
AGUGAACGCUGGCGGUAGGCCUAACACAUGCAAGUCGAACGGCAGCACAGUAAGAGCUUGCUCUUACGGGUGGCGAGUGGCGGACGGGUGAGGAAUACAUCGGAAUCUACUUUUUCGUGGGGGAUAACGUAGGGAAACUUACGCUAAUACCGCAUACGACCUACGGGUGAAAGCAGGGGAUCUUCGGACCUUGCGCGAUUGAAUGAGCCGAUGUCGGAUUAGCUAGUUGGCGGGGUAAAGGCCCACCAAGGCGACGAUCCGUAGCUGGUCUGAGAGGAUGAACAGCCACAUGGGAAAUGAAGAACGGUCCAGACCCCGAAGGGAGGCAGAAGUGGGGAAUAUUGAAAAAUGGGCGCAAGCCUGAACCAACCAUACCGCGGGGGUGAAGAAGGCCUUCGGGGUGUAAAGCCCUUUUGUGGGAAAAAAAAAGCAGCAGGUUAAUACCCCGCUGUUCUAGCGGUACCAAAAGAAAAAGCACCGGCUAACUUCG